CCUACGGGAGACAGCAGUCGAGAAUCAUUCACAAUGGGGGAAACCCUGAUGGGGCGACGCCGCGUGGGGGAAUGAAGGUCUACGGAUUGUAAACCCCUGUCAUGUGGGAGCAAAUUAAAAAGAUAGUACCACAAGAGGAAGAGACGGUUAACUCUGUGCCAGCAGCUGCGGUAAUACAGAGGUCUCAAGCGUUGUUCGGAAUAACUGGGCGUAAAGCGUGCGUAGGCUGUUUCGUAAGUCGUGUGUGAAAGGCGCGGGCUCAACCCGCGGAUGGCACUUGAUACUGCGAGACUAGAGUAAUGGAGGGGGAGCCGGUAUUCUCGGUGUAGCGGUGAAAUGCGUAGAUAUCGAGAGGAACACUCGUGGCGAAGGCGGGUUCCUGGACAUUAACUGACGCUGAGGCACGAAAGCCAGGGGAGCGAAAAGGAUUAGAUACCCGUGUAGUC
rnacentral:rRNA from 1 species